rnacentral:rRNA from 1 species
UGGUGCCCUAGCUUCUUCGGAACCACGCUAAUCCAUCUCGAACUUGGCUGUGAAACGGAGGAGGGGGAAAGGUACUGUCGGGGUAGCCCGAUGGAAGAGCACUCCGGUGCCGGGAA